rnacentral:rRNA from 1 species
UACGAAAGGUGCAAGCGUUACUCGGAAUUACUGGGCGUAAAGCGCGCGUAGGCGGCUAAGUAGGUCGAUUGUGAAAGCCCCAGGCUCAACCUGGGAACCGCAGUUGAAACCGCAUAGCUUGAAUGUUGGAGAGGGUGGGGGAAUACCUAGUGGAGAAGUGAAAUUCGUAGAGAUUAGGUGGAACACCAGAGGCGAAGGCGCCUGCCUGGCCAAACAUUGACGCUAAGGCGCGAAAGUGCGGGGAGCAAACAGG